GAGAAACUGAGCCCUUAUGUGCUGAGGAGCAUACAGCAGAAAAAUGAUGAGACAGCUAAUGAAGUCACCUUUGAAAUGUUUGAUGAAGGUUGUAAUUGAAAGAUGAAGAAUGGCCGACUGUGCUAUCCCAAAAUACAUCACUUGGCAUAAGGAUUAUUUUGAACUAAAAGCACUUGAAAAACAGCAAGUGCAAGAGAAAGACAGGAGACGAAACACUCGUGGAAAAGAAUUCCUCCGCAUUCCAGGAGAAAAGAAAUAUUCUUAUGAUCGGAGAUGGGGAGCUGAGACCAAGAGAAAUCCACACAAAUAGACUUUGAAACAGAGUCACCUCAGAAGCAUUGUGUAGGCUGGGCGAUGGAGUUUUCAAGAGUGUAGACACAUCCAGGUUUAAAUCACAGGACCACUUGCCUGCUGCCAUCUUUAGAAGACACAUAACUGAAGGUUAAAUCCCCAGCUUCCCUUUAGCUCAUUGUGAAUAUAUUCCUCAGUUCUGGUCAAUAGCAUGUAAGCAAGAGUGCUAUGUAGCACUUCUGCUAAAUGUCCUUAAAGACAGUGCUAUAGAUUAAAUGUCUGUGUCCCCCUAAAGUUUUUAUGUUAAAAUCCUAAGCCCCAAUAUGAGGAUAUUAUGAGGUUGGGCCGUUGGUAAGUGAUUUGGUAGGCAGAGCCCUCAUGAAUGGGAUUCAGGACCUGUAAAAGAGACCUCAGAGAGCUUUUUUACUCUUUCUACUACGUGAAGAUACACACAGCAAGAAGAUGGCUGUUUAUAAACAAGGAAGCAAGCCUCACCAGAUACUGGAAUAUACGGAUACCUUGAUUUUGGACUUCCCAGCCUCUGGAACUAAGAGAAAUACAUUUUCGUUAUUUACAAGCUACCCAGUCUAUGAUAUUUUAUAUAGCAGCCAGAACAGACUGACAGAGAAGUAGCGUGUCUUUCUUUAUCCUUUUCUCUUUCCUAAUAACUGAAUUGUAGAUAUGAGGGUUAGGGUUACAACAGCUCUUUGAACUUGUGAGGUGAGAUACAAAAAAUGGUGGAGUAGCAAGCAAAAGAGAACCUGAAUCUAUUAGCAUCACUGAGCUUCCAAACUUGUCAUAGACUGGCUUCCUCAAGCAAUAACAUGGGUGGGAGAAAUAAACUGCUGUCUUCUAUGAGCCAAUAUUAUUUUGAAUUUCUGACACCUUUAGUCAGACUAAAUCCUAAUAUGUAUGCAAUCCACUGUCUUCCAAAGUAUUGUCCUUCUGUUAAAUUUCAUAUUACAUUUCUUUUCCAUUGGACUUUUCUCUACAACAAUCCUGAACUACAUGUUGGCCCAAGACCGUAGAAUGAUGUCAAAUCUUACUGCUUUGGUUCAGGUUGUUCCCUUUGCCUAACAUCACAUACCCCACAGCUCUAAUAGUCUUCAUUUGAAUUUUAGAAUUAUUACUUAUUUUUCAAUACCCUGCUCACACAUCAUCUCCCAUAAGAAGCAAUCACUGACAAUUCACUUCAUGCCUCCCAAAGGUGAUUUUGCCCUCCCUCUCACAACCUCUGGAGCUGUACAGGUUUAAAAUUUCACCACUCACAUACACUGACAGUUACUUAUUUGUGUGUGUUCUUUUCCUAUUAAUCCUUGAGGGUGGUGAUUCUGUCCUAUAUAUUUGCCAUGUCUAGCAGUCUCUGGCAAUUUGUAGGUGAUCAAUCAAAAUACAGUUCUGAUUUCAUAGGUCAUAAUCAUAUUUCUGGAGUUUUCCAAUAAAAGUAAUAUUUCAUAUAUACUAUUUCUCAAUUCAAAGGAAGAAAAUGACAUUCUCUCAUUGCAUUUCGGACUGAUCAAAAACUUAAAUUUUAAGUUGUGUGUUAUUCAAAAGAUUGAGUGAUUUUAUUUGAGAGACUACAUUCUAUUCUGAAAUGCUUCAUAAUAAAAGUUGUUGCCUCAGAAAAAUGUUAGAACAUUAAAAUGGCAUUUAGUUUAAAUGUAAUACAAUUUAUGAAAAAUCGUAAAAGCAUACUUUUAGAUAUCUCUAUUAUCUUUUAAAAAUAUGGCUUCCUUUCUAAUACCAGUUUUUCCUUCCAAAAAAGAUAUACCCUAUUUUUUCUCCCUAAAUGUUUUCUGAGCAUUUUCCUAUGUCUUUAAAUUGUCCUCAAAACAAAUAUUUUAAAAAAAUUUUUUAGACACAUCUCACUUUGUCACCCAGGCUGGAGUGCAGUGACGCCAACAUACAGCUCACUGCAGCCUCUAUCUCCCAGGCUCAGGUGAUUCUCUCACCUCAGCCACCCAAGGAGCUGGGAUUACAGGUGCAUGUCAUCAUACCCAGAUAAUUUUUUUGUAGAGACAGGGUCUUGCCACAUUGCCAAGGCUGGUUUUGAACUUCUGGGUUCAACUGAUCUGCCUGCCUCAGCCUCCCAAAGUGCUGGGAUUACUGCAUAAUAUUCCCCUUUAGGUUACUAUAUUAAACUAAUCUACUUUCUGUCCUUAUGUAUUUGCCUUUGUUGGAUGCUUUAUAUAAAUGGAAUCAUACAAUAUGUGGUCUUUUGUGACUGGCUUCUUUCAUUAAGCAUAACGUUUUCGAGAUUGUUGUAGCAUGUAUCAAUGUCUCAUUCCUUUUUAUUGCCUAAUAAUAUUCCUUUGUAUGGCUAUGUCUCACUGUGCUUGUCAAUUUAUCAGUUGAUGGAUAUUUGGAUUAUUUCUACUUUUUGGCUAUUAUGAAUAAUAAUGGUAUAAAUAUUAAUGUACAGGUUUUUGUGUAGACAUAUGCUUUCAUUUUUCUUAAGAAUAUACAUAGCUUAC
rnacentral:lncRNA from 10 species